rnacentral:misc_RNA from 1 species
GAUGAAGAACGCAGCGAAAUGCGAUAAGUAAUGUGAAUUGCAAAUUCAGUGAAUCAUCGAGUCUUUGAACGCACAUUGCGCCCCCUGGUAUUCCGGGGGGCAUGCCUGUCCGAGCGUCAUUGCUGCCCUCAAGCACGGCUUGUGUGUUGGGCCCCGUCCUCCGAUCCCGGGGGACGGGCCCGAAAGGCAGCGGCGGCACCGCGUCCGGUCCUCGAGCGUAUGGGGCUUUGUCACCCGCUCUGUAGGCCCGGCCGGCGCUUGCCGAUCAACCCAAAUUUUUUAUCCAGGUUGACCUCGGAUCAGGUAGGGAUACCCGCUGAACUUAAGCAUAUCAAUAAGCGGAGGA